rnacentral:misc_RNA from 1 species
UUUCCGUAGGUGAACCUGCGGAAGGAUCAUUAAAGAGUAAGGGUCUCUGGCCCGAACCUCCAACCCUCUGUUGUUAUAACUACUUCGUUGCUUUGGCGGGACCGCGAAGGUUCUCCCGAGCGCGCCAGUCUCCGGACAGACGAGCGCCCGCCAGAGUCUAACCAAACUCUUGUUUUAAACCAGUCGUCUGAGUAUAAAAUUUUAAUUAAAUUAAAACUUUCAACAACGGAUCUCUUGGUUCUC